rnacentral:rRNA from 1 species
AUUGAACGUUGGCGGCGUGCUUAACACAUGCAAGUCGAUCGGUAACGCGGGGGCAACCCUGGCGACGAGAGGCGGACGGGUGAGGAACGCUUGGGAAUCUGCCUAUCAGCGGGGGACAACACGGGGAAACUCGUGCUAAUACCGCAUACGCUCUACGGAGGAAAGCCGGGGACCGCGAGGCCUGGCACUGAUAGAUGAGCCCAAGCCGGAUUAGCUAGUUGGCGGGGUAACGGCCCACCAAGGCGACGAUCCGUAGCUGGUCUGAGAGGACGAUCAGCCACACUGGGACUGAGACACGGCCCAGACUCCUACGGGAGGCAGCAGUGGGGAAUAUUGGACAAUGGGGGAAACCCUGAUCCAGCGACGCCGCGUGGGUGAAGAAGGCCUGCGGGUUGUAAAGCCCUUUCGGUAGGGACGAAAGCUCUCGACCUAACACGUCGGGAGGUUGACUUAACCUACAAAAGAAGCACCGGCUAACUCUGUGCCAGCCGCCGCCGUAACAC